rnacentral:rRNA from 1 species
UGGGGAAUAUUGCACAAUGGGCGAAAGCCUGAUGCAGCGACGCCGCGUGAGGGAUGACGGCCUUCGGGUUGUAAACCUCUUUCAGCAGGGACGAAGCGCAAGUGACGGUACCUGCAGAAGAAGCACCGGCUAACUACGUGCCAGCAGCCGCGGUAAUACGUAGGGUGCAAGCGUUGUCCGGAAUUACUGGGCGUAAAGAGUUCGUAGGCGGUUUGUCGCGUCGUUUGUGAAAACCAGCAGCUCAACUGCUGGCUUGCAGGCGAUACGGGCAGACUUGAGUACUGCAGAGGGGACUGGAAUUCCCGGUGUAGCGGUGAAAUGCGCAGAUAUCAGGAGGAACACCGGUGGCGAAGGCGGGUCUCUGGGCAGUAACUGACGCUGAGGAACGAAAGCGUGGGUAGCGAACAGG